UUUUCUGGUCUUUAUCUGGUUUAGUUUUGAGUGCUUCCAGCGGCAGCGGGGCCGUUCCACCACAGUCCCCAGGAAAUUGGUCCACGUAGGACGGAGCCUUCCCGAGAAUGAAGUCAUCUGUUCCUUUUUUAUUUUUUGUUGCCUUUUCUCCUUCAGCACGAGUCACCCGGCCUCUGCAGUCUCUCCCCGCGAAAACACGGCCCGCGAGGGGGUCAGCCGGGCUGGCUGGGGGAAGGAGCGAGGAGAGAACCCCACAGGCCGGGGCUGCCCGGGGCGCCCCCUCGCCGCCCCAGAUCUUUGCCCAGCGCCCGCCUCCCGUUCCCACCCGCGACUUCCCCGGGACCGCCCGAAAGAUGCUGAUAGGAGACUCUGCAGUUUUAGAGACAGAAGGAGCUAGAGCAGGACAGCCCAGCCUUCCUGUUUGAACUCCUCCUGCUCUGGGUGGACGUGAGGAUCAAAUGUUACCUGUCCCCAGACGCAGGCACGAUGGAUGGACAGUCAUCCCUGGCACGCUAGGUGGAGCAAGGACAUGGCCCCUGGAACCAGUCGCACCGGCUUUGAAUUUGGAUUUGCCACAUGUAGCUGUGUGAUCCUGGGCAAGUGGCUUCAGGUCUCUUUGGCCACCUGUUAUCUGAA